rnacentral:ncRNA from 1 species
GCAAAGUCGAAGAAGGGGAGUUCCCGGAUAAAUUUGGUCCCAGAGAGGGAGACCCCAGGCUGCAAAGUCUCCUGUCCAAAUCCCAGGAUGUCGCCCCGGAGUCGCCAGGCUGAAAUUGAUUAGGCCUGGACGGGUCAGCCCGUUACAGCUUAAUUGAGUUGCCACCCAAUAUAACUUUAUUUUGACAAUGGGUGGAAACAAGGUGGUACCGCGGAAGCAAACUUCCGUCCUUGAG